UACGUAGGGAGCAAGCGUUGUCCGGAAUCAUUGGGCGUAAAGCGCGCGUAGGCGGCCCUGUAAGUCCGUUGUGAAAGUCAAAGGCUCAACCUUUGAAAGCCGAUGGAUACUGCAGGGCUAGAGUCCGGAAGAGGCGAGUGGAAUUCCUGGUGUAGCGGUGGAAUGCGCAGAUAUCAGGAGGAACACCAAUAGCGAAGGCAGCUCGCUGGGACGGUACUGACGCUGAGGCG
rnacentral:rRNA from 1 species